rnacentral:rRNA from 1 species
GACGAACGCUGGCGGCGUGCCUAAUACAUGCAAGUAGAACGCUGAAGGAGGAGCUUGCUUCUCCGGAUGAGUUGCGAACGGGUGAGUAACGCGUAGGUAACCUGCCUGGUAGCGGGGGAUAACUAUUGGAAACGAUAGCUAAUACCGCAUAACAGUAGAUGUUGCAUGACAUUUGCUUAAAAGGUGCAAUUGCAUCACUACCAGAUGGACCUGCGUUGUAUUAGCUAGUUGGUGAGGUAACGGCUCACCAAGGCGAUGAUACAUAGCCGACCUGAGAGGGUGAUCGGCCACACUGGGACUGAGACACGGCCCAGACUCCUACGGGAGGCAGCAGUAGGGAAUCUUCGGCAAUGGACGGAAGUCUGACCGAGCAACGCCGCGUGAGUGAAGAAGGUUUUCGGAUCGUAAAGCUCUGUUGUAAGAGAAGAACGAGUGUGAGAGUGGAAAGUUCACACUGUGACGGUAUCUGACCAGAAAGGGACGGCUAACUACGUG